UCGAGAGGCUUCGGCAAUGGGGGAAACCCUGACCGAGCGACGCCGCGUGCAGGAUGAAGGCCCUUGGGUUGUAAACUGCUUUUAUCGGGGAAGAAAUGCGAUCAGGUGAACAAUCUGGUCGUUUGACGGUACCCGAUGAAUAAGCUCCGGCUAACUCCGUGCCAGCAGCCGCGGUAACACGGGGGGAGCAAGCGUUGUUCGGAAUCACUGGGCGUAAAGGGAGUCUAGGCGGUCAGGUAAGUGGGGCGUGAAAUACCUCGGCUCACCCGAGGAGCUGCGUCUCAUACUGCCUGGCUUGAGUAUGGGAGAGGACAGGGGAAUUCCUGGUGUAGCGGUGAAAUGCGUAGAUAUCAGGAGGAACACCGGUGGCGAAGGCGCCUGUCUGGCCCAAUACUGACGCUGAAGCUCGAAAGCUAGGGGAGCAAACGG
rnacentral:rRNA from 1 species